CAGAAAUACCAGCCAGUUUAGCAGCUGUGGGAGCUGGAGUCCAAAAGACCUGGAGGCCCAAAGGUUGGGAAUCACUGCACUAGUGGUUUGAGAUUUGGACUCCAACUCUGGAGACCAGAGUUCAAAUCCCUGUUUGGCCCUGGAAACCCAUUGGGUCACCUUAAGGGUAUUCCUUAAAAGCAGGAACAAACUGGCAGGAUUUGAACAACAGAAGAAUACUGACUGGUUGUCAAAUGUUAAC
rnacentral:lncRNA from 11 species